rnacentral:rRNA from 1 species
GACGAACGCUGGCGGCGUGCUUAACACAUGCAAGUCGAACGCUAAGGCGCUGCUUGUAGGGUACUCGAGUGGCGAACGGGCGAGUAACUCGUGGGUGAUCUGCCCUGCACUUCGGGGUGAGCCUGGGUAACUGAGUCUAAUACCGGCCACGUAACAAUUUUAGUCUGAUGGUUGGAAAGUUUUGUCGGUGUAGGAUGCGCUCCCGGCCUAUCCUCCUGUUGGUGGGGUAAUGGCCUACCAAGGGGGUGACCGGUCGCCGGCCUGAGAGGGUGGACGGCCACAAUGGGACUGAGAGACGGCGCAGACUCCUACGGGAGGCAGCAGUGGCGAAUAUUGCAGAAUGGGGGCAAGCGUGAGGCAGCGACGCCGGGUGCGGGAUGACGGCCUGCAGGUUGUGAACGCCUGUCGCUGGGGACGAAGCUUUUUGUGACGGUACCUUGAUAAGAAGCACCGGCUAACUACGUG